rnacentral:misc_RNA from 1 species
AAAGAAACUAGAAGCUGAACUUUCAGCCAUCAAGAUUUCAUAUCUCAAGAAACUUAACAAAGGCUCCAAUAUAGUGAUCUUGGGCUCGUACUCAGACUCAGCAAAAGCAGUUGCCAAAGCACUAACAAGACUUGGCUUCAAGAACUCCUGGAUUGUAACUGAUGGGUUUUUAGGUAGCAAAGGUUGGUUACAGAGUCGGUUAG